UGGCAGGGCGGCGUGCUUACCAUGCAAGUCGAACGGUGAACACGGAGCUUGCUCUGUGGGAUCAGUGGCGAACGGGUGAGUAACACGUGAGCAACCUGCCCCUGACUCUGGGAUAAGCGCUGGAAACGGCGUCUAAUACUGGAUACGAGUAGCGAUCGCAUGGUCAGCUACUGGAAAGAUUUUUUGGUUGGGGAUGGGCUCGCGGCCUAUCAGCUUGUUGGUGAGGUAAUGGCUCACCAAGGCGUCGACGGGUAGCCGGCCUGAGAGGGUGACCGGCCACACUGGGACUGAGACACGGCCCAGACUCCUACGGGAGGCAGCAGUGGGGAAUAUUGCACAAUGGGCGGAAGCCUGAUGCAGCAACGCCGCGUGAGGGAUGACGGCCUUCGGGUUGUAAACCUCUUUUAGCAGGGAAGAAGCGAAAGUGACGGUACCUGCAGAAAAAGCGCCGGCUAACUACGUGCCAGCAGCCCGGGGUAA
rnacentral:rRNA from 1 species